CUGUGCGAAACGAUCAAACCACACAGGCGGUGAGACAACUGGUCAUUCCCUCGAGCACCGUUUAAUGGUCAAAUCAUUUGGGGUAUGACUAACACUACAAAGGCGUGAGGAGAUGUGGUAGAUGUUAUUUUUUUUGUUAUCAGGUGGCACAAGAUUGGCAGUUCAUUAUAAUAGACUAGCAAAACAGUUUGUUAAUUCUUUAGCCUGUAAGUUAUCAGUGUUGAGCAUUCGAAAUCAAAAUUAAUAAUAUAAUUUGAACUCCUUAGAUAUUGGAUUGAGCCUAGAAUAUUUGAAUACUAUUGAUUACGCGUUGUGAGUACUGACUAGAACAGUGCAAUUAGAAUUCAUUAGGUGAGUCAGACGAACAGAAAUUUAACUCUAUUGUGUACUGAGUAGUUUCCCUGGAUAUUAUAGACGGCGUAUUGUUCGGCCUUGCAGUUGUAGCGACAGUGCAACUAUCGUACUAGGGGUGCACAGUAAGUAAUGCGAAACCCAAGAAUGGUUAUUGCGACAUGAAUUAGAAUUGGAUUUUGUAGGAUUGAAUUUAGAACGGUUGUCCAUUUGAGAAGGUCUAGGGAGCAAAAAUACCUCGCAACACAGAAAUGUGAGUAUUAUGAUCGAAAUAUUGUAUAAAAAUUACUCAAUGAAAUAUAUUGCAGCUAUGAAGUUGCGCAGUAAAGCAGCUAUCCAGAUUCGUGUUCUACGCCCACGCUUCCCACAACAUUCUUCAUAGAUUUCUAUCCUAAGUUGGAAAGAAGUCUAGGACCGAAACCUUCUACUCAACGGUGCCCCGGAUAUUGGUCAGCGGUCAACUGCAACGAACAUUCACCGUUGUGAAUAUCAAUAAAGUCAGUACAUUAGUUUAGUAUUAAGUACAUCUACUGUCCGCGCGUUACACAUUCGCAGUUAACCACGUAGUCAGUUUCGGGUCGAGAGUGUCAAGUGUGUCACAAUUAAGUGAUCGGUGAAGUAGUUAUCCUUCGGAGUCUGGAGGAAACCUGCCGCAGUAUGGCCACCAAUCAGGUGAACAGGACCCGCUGUGAAAAGUGCGAUAUGGAUGAUACGGCAGAGAUGAUCCACUGUGAAUUAUGCUACAGGCGGGAACAUUUCGGUUGCGCUGGAGUACCAGAUGGCUUUAACCCCGCGAAUUCUACUUGGUGCUGCCAACAGUGUGAAGCAGAGAAGAUUGCCGCCAACGUUCCGAGAUCUACACGAAGUUCUACGUCGAGCAGGAGAUCACUCCGUUUGAAGUUGGCCUUGGAAGAACUGGAGGUGCGGAACCGACUCCGCAUGAAGGAAAUAGAAGCCGAGAAGGAGUUUUUUAAGCAAAAGUAUGAGCUGCUCAAGCAGAUGGAAGAUGAAGACGAUCGGGAGAGCCGGCGCAGUAUAGUUAGCGAGAAAACUAAGCGUGAAAGGCUGGAAAAGUGGUUGGCCAAACAUCCCAACGGAGUUGAAACAACAGGUGGGACGAAAUCAGCAGAUAUAUCGCAAGAAGAUGCAACCAUCCAUCAACUAGAACAUACCCCGCAGAGUUCAUCUACGUUAAACCGGAUAGUUGAGGAGACUCCAGUGCCGGCCGUAGUCAGUCAGUGCUCAAUCCCAGCAGUAGGCCCAGUGCAACUGAAUAGUUCGCUCUUGGGAGGCACGAUACUUACACCAGCCGACAUGGACAUCUCGGCGAAUAACAUCGUCAGCAAUGAGCCUCCCCCGCCAGUCGUAGCGAGGUCGAGUGCAGCGAUCUGCUUUAGUACCCCUGUUGCGAUUACGUCAAGUAAUCUAGUAAACCCAUUACCGGCAGCGAUUUCCACUACUGGGAAUUUCCAACACAUUUCUGGGAAACAAUCAGCAGCGCAUCCAAUCCAGAAAGCGAGCAUAUCAGUACAACACCCAUCACAGUGGGAUACAAGUCAGGUGACGACCGAAGGAAAUGUCGCCAAUGUAAGAGGAAACGUACAACCGACAAUACAGUCGUAUAGCAGAGAAGUCCACAGCGGAAUUCAGUCGGGCGUAACUACGGCUCCAAUGCAAUCACAUGAGCAAAUUCCGUCAUGGGUCUCAAACAAGAACAUUGGCCAACGAAGCUUACACACCGAUAACGAGCAUCCAUCAGGAGUGUAUCCAGUAUCAUCUACGAUGUCGGAGAUCAACGGACCUUACUUCGGAUCGCAGUUCCGUCACAAUUUAGGCGGUACGUUCCCGUCGUCGGUGUACACGUCAGGAACACAACCAUUGCCUUCGUAUCCAGCGGCAGGACAGUAUUCUGUGGUUCAGCUCGUUCCUCCAGGAAUGAUUCCACCACAACAGCCGCCAGCAAUUUGGCCGGUGCAACAGCCGAGGACAAUAGUGCAAUCCGGAGUUCAUUUUAGCUCUCCUAUAGUAGCUCCAUCAGUAGCAGUACCAUCGACGGAAACCCGUGAGAAUGCAACUGUGAGGAUGUCAACAGCAGAACGAAGUUCUUCAAUACCUGGAACAUCUUUCGUUGUCCCACCUUCAUCACGCUCGUUUGCACCGCGUGGUACAACUUCGUACACACCAUUGGACAACGAACACUUACAACGUCAGAAUGGCCCAACCGCAUCCCAAAUCGCAGCUCGCCAAGUUAUUUCUCGUGACCUACCAACGUUUUCAGGCAAUCCAGAAGACUGGCCUAUCUUCUUCAGCUCAUUCCAAAACUCUACGGAGACGUGCGGGUACAGCGAUGCCGAAAACCUUGCGCGAUUGCAGCGAUGUUUGAAAGGUGCAGCACUGGAGGCAGUAAGGAGCCGACUUCUUCUUCCAGCAUCAGUUCCAAAUGUUAUCGAGACUCUGCACAAGUUGUAUGGCAAACCCGAAAACCUUAUCAACUCUCUACUGAGAAAAGUGCGCAACACUCCGUCACCAAAAUCAGACAACCUUCAUUCCAUUAUUACGUUUGGAUUGGCGGUUCAAAACUUGGUGGACCAUAUCAUCAUUGCAGAACAGGACUCACACCUGGCGAAUCCUAUGCUGCUGCAGGAACUAAUGGGAAAACUGCCCACGUCGUUGAAGUUACAGUGGGGAGCUUUCAAACGUUCCUACGCCGACGUUAAUCUCACCACCUUCAAUGAAUUCAUGGUGGAGAUGGUUGAUCUUGCCUCUGAUCUCACAGUAAACGAAGAUGCGCCAAGUGGACAGAAGCAACAAAAAGAAGAGAGAAGCAGGCGGAAAGAGAAACUCUUUGUCCACUCUCACGAAGAACUUAAGGAAACUGAGAAGAUACAAGAUUUGAAGCUGAAUGAACAAGCCAAACUUUGUUCAAACUGUGGCGUUAGUGGACAUCAGAUUCUUCAAUGUAUCAACUUCAAAGCGAUGAGCGUAGAGGACCGGUGGAAGGCAAUUCGACAGAGAAAUCUUUGCCGCAGUUGUCUUAUACCACAUCGUAAGUGGCCAUGUAGAUCCAAGAAGGAAUGCGGAAAGGAUGGAUGUACUAGCAGACAUCACUGGCUGCUUCACGAACCACGGAAGACACUACCACAACAAAACGCAGCUACUACGACAACGAGAUCAACUGGAAGCACUCAAGUUGCCCAUCAAAACCAUCACUUCGAUCAGUCAUAUUCUCUCUUCCGCUACGUGCCAAUUACCGUUUAUGGAAACGGGAAGCAGAUUGAUAUCUAUGCUUUUCUUGAUGAAGGAUCUAGCACCACAAUGAUUGAGACAGGCGUAGCAGAUCUGCUGGAAGUCAACGGGCCAAAAGAAUCUCUUUGGUUGACGUGGACUGGAGAAAUCACAAGAGAAGAAAAGGAAUCCCGCAUCAUCAGUAUUGCAGUCGCAGGAGCCGGGAUCAAUAGGAAAUUCUCAAUUGGAAAUGUGCGCACCGUAGAGGAAUUAAAGCUUCCCAGACAGUCGUUCUGCUAUGAAGUCAUGGCAGAAAAAUAUCCCCACCUUAGGAGAAUUCCCAUCAAGAGCUAUCACAAUGCGACACCGCGUAUGAUCAUAGGUAUUGAACAUGUUCGCCUUCUGACCUCACAGAAACUACGUGAAGGGAAAGGAGAAGGGCCAGUUGCCGUGAAAACACGGCUUGGUUGGAGCGUAUUCGGUAGGCAAACGGAGAAGAUACCUACUGUUGAACGUGUGAACUUUCACCAUUCGGAAUCGCUCAGUAAUCGCGCGCUACACGAUUCCAUGAAGCAGUUCUUUCGUUUAGAAGAGAGCACAGUCACGACGAAAAUGGAAGCGGAAGAGGACAAAAGAGCACGUCAACUGUUAGAGCAGAGAACGGUACGGACAGGAAGCCGGUUUGAAACAGGCUUGCUUUGGAAAGUGGACAAUCCGUCGCUUCCAAAUAGUUUCCCCAUGGCGCUUCAAAGGUUGAAGUCUCUGGAAAGAAAACUAGCGCGUGAUCCUGGACUACGACAACGAGUAAAAGACCAGAUCAACGGCUACUUGGCAAAAAAUUACGCACAUAAAGCCUCGGAACAGGAGCUGGAAGACACCAAUACGAAACACUCAUGGUAUCUUCCACUAGGAGUAGUGGAAAACCCGAAGAAGCCUGGCAAAACACGCCUCAUUUGGGAUGCCGCUGCUAAAGUUCAAGGAAUAUCGCUCAAUGACUUGCUAUUGAAAGGGCCAGACCUUCUUACAUCGCUGUUAGCCGUCUUGAUGAGAUUUAGGCAACACAACAUCGCUGUUUCCGGUGACAUAGCGGAAAUGUUUCAUCAGAUUCGUAUAAGAGAUGAUGAUAAACAGUUUCAGCGUUUCCUUUGGCGAGACGACCCAGAAGACGAGGUGCAAGUGUACGUCAUGGAUGUAGCUACCUUUGGGGCCACCUGUUCCCCAUGUACGGCACAAUAUAUAAAAAACCGGAAUGCACUCGAGUUUGCUGAAUCCUUUCCAAGAGCCGUGGAAGGAAUCAUAAAAAACCAUUACGUAGAUGAUUUUCUGGAUAGCGUGAAUACAGAAGAAGAGGCGGUUGAAUUGGUCGGAGAAGUUAAAAUGAUUCAUGCAGCAGCGGGGUUCCAAAUAGGAAAAUUCCAGUCAAACUCCUCGACGGUGUUGUCACGACUGGGAGAACCAGUGAAAACAGAUGUCAAGUCAUUGAAUUUGGACAAGCAGGAUGGAACUGAGCGAAUUCUAGGAAUGGUAUGGUCAGUAACAGCGGAUGUAUUCACCUUUGAUACUCUGGCGCUACCAAGUAUUCAGCAAUUAGUCAAGAGCGGUAUGGUGCCGACAAAGCGUCAAGUCCUACGGGCAGUGAUGUCACUAUUCGAUCCGCUUGGUUUGGUAGCCCAUUACGUGGUGCAUGGGAAGAUAUUAAUGCAGGAGAUUUGGAGAUCUGGAACUGAAUGGGAUGAACCAAUUGCUGGACAUCUACAUGACACCUGGUACCGCUGGAUUGAGCUACUCUACCAGCUGAGCGAAGUGCGAGUUCCCCGGUGUUAUUUCAGUGGAGAGAAACUGCAACAUCUACAGCUCCACGUAUUUGUCGAUGCCAGUGAAAUGGCGUAUGCGGGUGUGGCGUACCUACGAGUGGAUUCCGGGACCGAACGAAAAUGUACGCUGGUUAUGGCGAAAACUAAAGUGUCACCACUGAAGCCGUUGUCAGUUCCGCGGCUUGAGCUACAAGCAGCGAUGCUAGGCGCACGACUUGCGCAAAGCAUUGGCUCUUCUCUAACAAUACCAAUAGAGCACCGUUACUUCUGGUCAGACUCAUCGACGGUUUUGUCUUGGUUGAGUUCGCAACGACGUCGUUACCAUCAGUUCGUGGAGUUUCGAGUCGCUGAAAUUCUCUCAUUAACUUGCAUUGAUGAGUGGCGAUACGUUCCCACUAAGUUAAACGUGGCUGAUAUAGCAACAAAGUGGGGUAGUGGGCCAAGUUUUCAGCCACAUCAGGAAUGGUAUCUAGGUCCAGCUUUUCUAUAUCAACCAAAUGAGACUUGGCCGAUUAACCAAAAGGUGGUUGGUGCAACCAUUGAAGAGCUGCGGCCUAUGUUCCUACACCACGUGAAGAUCAUGGAGCGUACGUUUGAUUGGACGCGCUUCUCUAACUGGAACCGGCUUAUCAGAACAGCAGCAUAUGUGUACAGAGCCAUAGCAAUCUUUAAGAGACGUCGAAACACGCGCAGCAGCUACAAAAUCCUUCAGAAAGAUGAAUUCGCCAAGGCGGAGGCAGCGGUCGUGCGACAAAUUCAGGCUGAAGAAUACCCAGAUGAGAUUGCUUUACUAGGUCAUAACAGCGAGGAGAGGAGCCUAUCAAAAUCUAGUGUGCUGUAUGCUUUGUCACCAUUCCUAGAUGAAAAUGGUAUAAUACGAAUGGGUAGUCGUACGGAGAAAGCACCAAAUAUGGCUUACAAUACGAAGUAUCCAAUAAUUCUUCCAAAGAGCCAUGCCGGCACAACGCUUUUAGUGGACAGUUUCCAUCGGAAAUACCUACAUGCUAAUGGAGAGACAGUGCACAACGAAAUCCGUCAACUGUAUUACAUUUCCGGUUUACGAACAGUGAUACGCAAAGUUACACGUGAGUGUCAACUCUGCAAAGUGAAAAAAGCAGUUCCUCGUGCUCCAAUGAUGGCAGCGUUACCCAGAGUACGUCUAACGCCCUUCAUUCGUCCUUUCACGUUCCUGGGAAUUGAUUAUUUUGGGCCCCUAGAAGUCAAUAUUGGACGAAAGACAGACAAAAGGUGGGUAGCGCUCUUUACAUGUUUGACGGUCAGAGCGAUCCAUCUGGAAGUCGUGCACAGCCUUUCCACGGAGUCCUGUGUGAUGGCUUUCCGGAGAUUCGUAGCAAGAAGAGGCGCACCACUGGAGGUAUAUUCAGAUAACGCUACAAAUUUCGUCGGAGCGAGUCGUCUUUUGGUAGAAGAAAUCCGAAGCAUUAACGAAGAAUGCGCAGCCACAUUUACGAACGCUCACACAACAUGGAAGUUCAACGUUCCCGCGGCGCCGCACAUGGGUGGCCCGUGGGAAAGAAUGGUCAGAUCCGUGAAAACGGGAAUGAAAGCUAUAACAGAGUCGGCAAGACUCCCGAACGACGAAGUACUGCAAACAAUACUACUGGAAGUUGAAGCUGUUGUCAACAACACGUCCGCUAACAUACAUUCCGUUGGAAUCGGCGGAGCAGGAAGCCCUCACGCCGAAUCAUUUUCUGCUGUAUGGGUCCAACGGAAUAAAGCAACCAGCAACACAACCAGUAGAUACCGGAUCAGCUUUGCGAAGUAGCCACAAGUUUGCACAACGAUUGGUGGAUGGAUUUUGGCAACGGUGGGUUCGGGAAUACCUGCCGAUACUGAGCAGGAGAUCUAAGUGGUUCGAUUCGGUGAAGCCAAUACAACCAGGAGACAUCGUGAUAGUAAUGGAUGAUAAGGUGAGAAGUUCGUGGAUGAAAGGCCGUGUAUUGGACGUAACAAAAGGUAAAGGAGGGCACGUUAGGAGUGCCAAGGUUCAGACCACCAAAGGAGUGUUUUCCAGACCGGCGGUCAAGCUAGCAGUUUUGGAUGUACGGAAGGAGAGUGGAGAAGAUCUUGGAGACGGCGCCAGGGCUGAUCCAGUUGUUCACGGGGAGGGGAAUGUUGUCGCAACCACUGUGCGAAACGAUCAAACCACACAGGCGGUGAGACAACUGGUCAUUCCCUCGAGCACCGUUUAAUGGUCAAAUCAUUUGGGGUAUGACUAACACUACAAAGGCGUGAGGAGAUGUGGUAGAUGUUAUUUUUUUUUGUUAUCAGGUGGCACAAGAUUGGCAGUUCAUUAUAAUAGACUAGCAAAACAGUUUGUUAAUUCUUUAGCCUGUAAGUUAUCAGUGUUGAGCAUUCGAAAUCAAAAUUAAUAAUAUAAUUUGAACUCCUUAGAUAUUGGAUUGAGCCUAGAAUAUUUGAAUACUAUUGAUUACGCGUUGUGAGUACUGACUAGAACAGUGCAAUUAGAAUUCAUUAGGUGAGUCAGACGAACAGAAAUUUAACUCUAUUGUGUACUGAGUAGUUUCCCUGGAUAUUAUAGACGGCGUAUUGUUCGGCCUUGCAGUUGUAGCGACAGUGCAACUAUCGUACUAGGGGUGCACAGUAAGUAAUGCGAAACCCAAGAAUGGUUAUUGCGACAUGAAUUAGAAUUGGAUUUUGUAGGAUUGAAUUUAGAACGGUUGUCCAUUUGAGAAGGUCUAGGGAGCAAAAAUACCUCGCAACACAGAAAUCUAUGAAGUUGCGCAGUAAAGCAGCUAUCCAGAUUCGUGUUCUACGCCCACGCUUCCCACAACAGGAAGGGAAGGGAUAGAUAGUUCCAUAGAUCUGGAUUCACAUUGGUAAGUGAUGUGAGCUAUGCAACCCUUGAUAUGGUUUAGUCUUCCGCCAGCCGGCUGUCGGAAGAAUACAAUAAUUUUAUUGUAUGUUUGUGUAUUAAAUUUAAUUAUAUAACGGGUAUGAAUAUUUUUUAAACCACGCUUAUGUCGGAUCAACUCGUAAUAACGCACGUUUUAAGCUUAUCGUUUCUCAGUCAGAAAAUAAACUGUAUGCAAUUUCGUUUAGUGUUACUGCCAAUGCUGAAAAACCGAAACCCGCGCCGUAGCUUUACGACAAAACUGGACAACUAAACAACUAGAAUCGUUGCUUCUGAGUUUCAUCUAUGUGCUUGUACAUAUUAUUAUUUUUUUCCGCGUUCCCGUGUUAAUAAGAUUGCGGAUAAUAAAACCGUUGUACAUAUUUAUUAUCCGCGAAUGUUCGCGACGCGUAAUAUAAGUUGAAAAUGUGAUGAACGAAAAAAAACAUCGUUAAAAAACCGAAAUUAUGGUACUCGGCACGACGGCACGAAUAAAUCGACGCGGAAAACGUAGUCUACUUGUCACUGUAUCGUACGGUAAUAUUGACCUUUCUAAAGAAAGAGAUGCUUCGCCGUUUUGAUCGCUGAUUGCCUGCUUGUAAAUCUGAAAUAGAAAAAAGUAUUAAAUUGUGAUACGUUCUCCACUGUUAUAUUUUUGUAAAUUGUUAUUUAUGUAUAGUUUUAAUUUACCUCCAUCCCUCUGAAAAAAACGGUAUAUUAGCAGUGAAAAAUAAAUAGAAUAAAAAAAAUUUAAAUAGUGUAAAAAUGUACACCAAAUUUUGAUCCUGGAAUGUUCCUGCAUUUAAAUAAACCAGGCUGGAAAAUAGCAAGAUCAAAACUUGAAAUGGUAGAUCUUACACCGUAACGUACCAUCCCAAGGUGAUCUACCCACGUUACGGGUUUAUCCAACGAGGCUUGUCGAGUUGGAUAAAUACGAAGAGUGCAAAAAAAAAAAUCUAGUUUUGCAACGAGUUCCAUACAAAAUUUUAUGCAAUUCAGUAUCAUAAUUUA